GGAGGGUUGCCCGAGCGGCCUAAGGGACCAGUCUUGAAAACUGUCGUGGCCUCGCGCCACCGUGGGUUCAAAUCCCACACCCUCCG
rnacentral:tRNA from 4 species